GGAUAUCAUGUUGGAGUGAGGUAGUCAAAGGAGUUCUGCUAUUGAUUUAAUAGUAGGUAAAAGACAAAAAGACUGGAGCAUUCUGAAACCAAAUCACUGAGGGUAAGACAUGCCCUCUAAGGUGGCUUCCAGCAACAGUGGUUGAUUUGGGCUGAUCUGCCCAAUCAGAGGCUCUCAUUGUCCAUCAGCCCGUAAAAUCUGGCCUCGGGGAACACGGUGACACCAUGCCGUCAUGAACAAGGAGCAGGAUCUGUCUGACUGCAGCCCUGUUGUAGCACUGAGCUCACCACGUGUAAA
rnacentral:lncRNA from 1 species